rnacentral:rRNA from 1 species
UGGGGAAUAUUGCACAAUGGAGGAAACUCUGAUGCAGCAACGCCGCGUGGAGGAUGACGCAUUUCGGUGUGUAAACUCCUUUUAUAGGGGAAGAUAAUGACGGUACCCUAUGAAUAAUCACCGGCUAACUCCGUGCCAGCAGCCGCGGUAAUACGGAGGGUGCAAGCGUUACUCGGAAUCACUGGGCGUAAAGGAUGCGUAGGCUGGGAAUCAAGUCGAAAGUGAAAUCCAACGGCUCAACCGUUGAACUGCUUUCGAAACUGAUUACCUAGAAUAUGGGAGAGGUAGAUGGAAUUAGUGGUGUAGGGGUAAAAUCCGUAGAUAUCACUAGGAAUACCGAUUGCGAAGGCGAUCUACUGGAACAUUAUUGACGCUGAGACGCGAAAGCGUGGGGAGCAAACA